rnacentral:misc_RNA from 1 species
GAUGAAGAACGCAGCGAAAUGCGAUAAGUAAAGCGAAUUGCAGAAUCCGUGAGUCAUCGAAUCUUUGAACGCACAUUGCGCCCUUUGGUAUUCCGAAGGGCAUGCCUGUUCGAGCGUCAUUAUCACCACUCAAGCCCGGCUUGCUGUUGGUGGCAGCGCAGCCGGUCAACCGGCUACGCUCCACCCAAAGAUAAUGACGGCGUCUGCGAGGACUCCUGUACAUUGAGCUUUCGGGCACGUACAUGGCUAGAAGUCCAGGCGCCGGUCGACGUCCUCCGGGACACUUUUUACCAAGGUUGACCUCGGAUCAGGUAGGGAUACCCGCUGAACUUAAGCAUAUCAAUAAGCGGAGGA